GACGUAGGGCGCGAGCGUUGUUCGGAUUUAUUGGGCGUAAAGAGCUCGUAGGCGGCCUGUCGCGUCGGAUGUGAAAGCCCGGGGCUUAACCCCGGGUCUGCAUUCGAUACGGGCAGGCUAGAGUGUGGUAGGGGAGAUCGGAAUUCCUGGUGUAGCGGUGAAAUGCGCAGAUAUCAGGAGGAACACCGGUGGCGAAGGCGGAUCUCUGGGCCAUUACUGACGCUGAGGAGCGAAAGCGUGGGGAGCGAACAGG
rnacentral:rRNA from 1 species